rnacentral:rRNA from 1 species
GACGAACCGUGCGAACGUUGUUCGGAAUCACUGGGCUUAAAGGGCGCGUAGGCGGGCCGGCCAGUCGGAGGUGAAAGCCCCCAGCUCAACUGGGGAAGUGCCCCCGAUACUGCCGGCCUUGAGGGAGGUAGGGGCGUGCGGAACUUCCGGUGGAGCGGUGAAAUGCGUAGAUAUCGGAAGGAACACCGGUGGCGAAGGCGGCACGCUGGGCCUCACCUGACGCUGAGGCGCGAAAGCCAGGGGAGCGAACGGG